GCAGUGAUGGUUCAGAGGUAGAAUUCUCACCUUCUAUGUGGGUUUUUUUUUAUGUGGGAGAUCUGGGUUCAAUUCCUGGCCAGUGCA
rnacentral:tRNA from 1 species